rnacentral:rRNA from 1 species
AUUGAACGCUGGCGGCAGGCCUAACACAUGCAAGUCGAACGAGUGGCGGACGGGUGAGUAGUGUCUGGGAAACUGGCUGAUGGAGGCGGCUAACUACUGGAAACGGUAGCUAAUACCGCAUACGACCCGAUGUGCCCAGAUGGGAUUAGCUAGUUGGUGGGGUAACGGCUCACCAAGGCGACGAUCCCUAGCUGGUCUGAGAGGAUGACCGGCCACACUGGGACUGAGACACGGUCCAGACUCCUACGGGAGGCAGCAGUGGGGAAUAUUGCGCAAUGGGCGAAAGCCUGACGUAGCCACGCCGCGUGUGUGAAGAAGGCUUUCGGGUUGUAAAGUUCUUUCGGCGGGGAGGCGUUACCCACAGAAGAAGCACCGGCUAACUCCGUGCCAGCAGCCGCGGUAAUAC